GUCAUGGGCAGCGCGGGAGCUUCUCCCGCAGCCCGAACUCAAGGGUAAAAUUCACAAACAAUGAAAUGCAGAGGUGUCAAGUGUACUCUUUGGUGAGUCUGAGAAGUACACUCACUAAUGUGACCCAAACCCCUUUCAAGAUAGAGAACAUGGCCAGGCGCGGUGGCUCACGCCUGUAAUCCCAGCACUUCGGGAGGCCAAGGGCAGAUCACCUGAAGUCAAGAGUUCAAGACCAGCCUGGCCAACAUGGUGAAACCCCAUCUCUACUAAAGAUAGAAAAAAUUAGCCAGGCGUGAUGGCAGGCACCUGUAAUCCCAGCUACCUCCUGAAUCGGAGAAUCACUUGAACCCAGGAGGCAGAGGUUGCAGUGAGCCGAAAUCGUGCCACUGCACUCCAGCCUGACUGUGGGCAACACAGCAAGACUCAAAAAAAAAAAAAAAAAAAAAAGGACAGCGUUCCCCUUGGAAGGUUCCUUGGGCCUCACCAGUCUACCUGCACGCCCCAUGGAGGCAAUCAUUAUUCUCAUUUCUCACCAUAUUCUGGCC
rnacentral:lncRNA from 10 species